GGACCCCACUGCUAUCGGGGUGGGACUAAGCCAUGCAAGUCGAAGGUCCCCGGCUCCGGGGGCCUGGCAGACGGCUCAGUAACACGUGGCCAACCUACCCUCGNGAGGGGGAUAACCCCNNNAAACUGGGGUUAAACCCCCAUAGGCGGCGGGCUCUGGAAGGACCCGCCGCUGAAAGUGGUGUACGGGGAUGCUCCGUACACCAGCCCGAGGAUGGGGCUGCGGCCUAUCAGGUAGUUGGCGGGGUAACGGCCCGCCAAGCCUAUAACGGGUAGGGGCCGUGAGAGCGGGAGCCCCGAGAUGGGCACUGAGACAAGGGCCCAGGCCCUACGGGGUGCACCAGGNGCGAAACUUCCGCAAUGCGGGAAACCGUGACGGAGUCACCCCGAGUGCCACCCGAUGAGGGUGGCUUUUGCCCGGUCUAAAAAGCCGGGCGAAUAAGCAGGGGGCAAG
rnacentral:rRNA from 1 species